CAGCCUUUCCGGAAGCUGUGCAGAUUAAAUCCAAGAUUAAUUUCGGCCACACAGCUGGGAAAAUGUGAACGGGAAGGUGGCGAAGUGCCAGAUAUGAUAGACAAAGAAACCAGGAGGCCAAAAAAAUUCAGGUUGGAGAAUGACGACCUCUUCACGGGGGACGAGGCACACAGCCAAGAAGGCCUGGGAGAUUACAGAAAAACAACUGGCCCAAUUUUCAUGAAACCUGAUGGAGGCGUGUAGGAUGGGCCAAGGAAGCACCCUUUUACUUGGAGCAGAUCUGAAUCACAGAUGCACAAAUUAUUUUUCCGCUUUCUUCUUUUCGAUUUCUUCCAGAUAUUUCAUGGCUCACCUGUUCACAGCUCAUCUGUUUGUCUUUGCUCUUCGUUGUCACACAUAUAGUAGAAACUGCUAUCGACGUGUUGUUUAAACACUCUGAGCAAUCAAACACAACAUCUUCUUUAUAGCAUCCAUGUUGUUUCCACAUUGAAGCUUAAAGCUCAUGAACACAGAAGUCAGCACAACUUGCCAACUCGGGAAAUGAGACCAUCGAAGGAGCACAUGAAUGCACCAUAGGCCUUGUUUUGUGCUCUCUGAGUGCAAGUUUAAUUACAUUUUUGUCAUUCGAUUAUUGUUUUAUCCUAUUACUUUUUGUCUUGUGAAUAUUGUCCAUAAGAGAUAAUCAAAUCAGUAAUAGUUAUCAUUUAUUUUGAGUGCAUAAACAUGUCAGAACUUAGGAAAGAAUCAGGUUCCAACAUAUUCAGAUCACUUCAUUUAUCUGAACAACAGUCCAAAACCCAAUGACAUUGGUUUUACCAUCAUAGG